GCUUCCAUGGCGCAAUGGUAGCGCACGGUACUUAUGUGGAUAACUGUAUGCCGGGGUUCUGAGUUCGAACCUCAGUGGAAGCA